GCGCGCCUUGAGGCCGCUCUGGCGGCUCCAUGCUGGUCAGUGCCGACCCCAUCGCGGUCCCGAGGCGGUGUGCGCCCUCUCCCGGAGGGGCUUUGCCGCCGAUGGGUGCGGGCUGAGGAGGAUGGAGGUGGAUUGUCUCCCCCCCCCCGCACCACCCGCCGCCGCGUGUGGGCUCCUGCUCCUCAGUGGCUUCGUUGAGCCUUGAAUACUGGGGGCUGUAGUACCCUGGAGCUUUUCUAAGUUGGCGUAGGGGUGGCUUUGAUGGGCGCCGACUUCGUGGGCAUCAGAGGCUAUGGGGUUGCACGUGGUGCAGUGCCAGCCAUGAUACAUCAAGCAAGUUCUUCCCUCGCUGGUAACUACAAAACUGCAGACCGAGACCUGAUGCUACUUGCUAAGGAUUUAAUGGAGGAAGUUGGAAGCUUCAUAGAAGGAAGAUUAUCUGGCCUGGAAGGUGAAUCCUGAUGAUGAAAGGCUGUGUUAAAUAGAUUGGCUUCGGAUGACCACCUGCCCGAUGUAUGGAGAUAAAAAUUCCAACUUGAACACAGUUCCAUAUUGUUUGCAGGGAGAGUAGAGCACAGGACACUUCAUACAAAGGCUUCCAGAGGGUGCUUGGAUAUCCUGACUGGGGUGACUUGGAUGUACAGAGUGCUGCUGUUAGCAGUGGUCCUGGCCCUGCCUUGAAUAAACUUGGCAUUAAUAUUAGAAGAUGAUGGAUGAUCAGGACAGCAUUUCAAGUGAGACACCCUCGUAUUGCCCUACGAUGGACACCACAAGGAAGGAGGAGAGGUAGACCAUUGGGGACGUGGCGAAGGACCAUUGAAGAGGAAAGGAAAGGGCUGGAGUGCACUCCUGGAAAAAGGAUCACUUUGCUGAGAGUAAAGUUGGUCAAACAUUCAGUGAAGCAAUCAGCCCUCUGCCUGCCUGAAAGAGAGCAAGAUUGGUUUGAAUGGACAGUUGAGGAAUCAGAAAGUGUUGAAGGCAUCAGAUUGUGUAUCCAGCAACUCCUAAGUGUCUCUGCCACCCCAUUUAGACUAUCAGUUUGGCCUGGAGUCCUUGCUCCACAGUCCUGCCUGCACUCAGAGCUCACCAGGACCAUUUAAGGGGCUUGCAAGGGUGUUGAAAGGACAGAUGAGGCAGCAGUACUUGCUGUGUUCUACGCUUGCCACAAUAAGUGACAUGACUUCUGGAUGAAGAGUAGUCUACAAAUUUGUGCAGAAAAGAUUACGUUCAGAAUGUCUUGUUGCCCCACUUGUCACAUGCUUCUACAUUGGUACACACUUUAGUCUGUUGCUAAAUAUCCAAUUAAGAAACUAGACUUGCUCUGAACUUUUGCCAUGUGUCUUUUAACCAGCACUAAGUAGACUUUAGAAGUAAAAUAACAGCUGUUUAAUUAAGAAAUUUGAAAUGUGCUAAAAUAAACUCAUCACAAAUGAUUA